rnacentral:rRNA from 1 species
AGGACGAACGCUGGCGGCGUGCUUAACACAUGCAAGUCGAGCGGUGAUCCUCCUUCGGGAGGUGAUCAGCGGCGAACGGGUGAGUAACACGUGGGCAACCUGCCCCUCACACUGGGAUAACCUCGGGAAACCGGGGCUAAUACCGGAUACGACCUCGAGCGGCAUCUCUUGAGGUGGAAAGCUCCGACGGUGAGGGAUGGGCCCGCGGCCUAUCAGCUUGUUGGUGGGGUAAUGGCCUACCAAGGCGACGACGGGUAGCCGGCCUGAGAGGGCGACCGGCCACACUGGGACUGAGACACGGCCCAGACUCCUACGGGAGGCAGCAGUGGGGAAUAUUGCGCAAUGGGCGAAAGCCUGACGCAGCGACGCCGCGUGAGGGAUGAAGGCCUUCGGGUUGUAAACCGUCUUUCAGCAGGGACGAAGCGAAAGUGACGGUACCUGCAGAAGAAGCACCGGCUAACUACGCGCCAGCAGCCGCGGUAA